ensembl:lncRNA
AGCAGCCUUUCAGUCCAGCUGCAUUUCAGUCGUAGGAAAAUAACCCUCUGGGCACAAUUUAUUAAGCACUCUGGGACAUCUCUGGCAGUUUUGUUUAGUGGUUAGAACAUGAGAAAGAGCAUCAGGAUUCAAUAUCUGGUUAUCUGAUGACUGCAAAUAAGGGAUUGACUCUGGGAUGGGUGAGCUGCUCCAGGUUUCUGCAGCGGGUCAGGCUCUGGAGACUUUCAAGCACUGCCUCAGAUGUGCCUCAAGAGGAAAUUCGGUGUUAAUGCCUUCAUCCAGUGCAGUGACUGCAAUGCUGGACUAUUACACACAGAGAGCAAGUGAUGCUGAGGAAACUCCCAGACGUCCUUUGCAGGAUGGCAAGGAGUGCUAGGGAUGAUGCAUUGGAAACACUGGAAGACCCAAAGCUUUCAUCUGCUAGUCAGAACAUCAGAUAAACUGCAUCUCCAAGUUUGGAGCGAAGAUGAUUGACUGGGAAAUGAUUUAAUAAUAACUUCUCCAUGUGGAAUUCUCUUUUAAAAUGUAUUGUGUUCUGUGCAUGCCUACAGGUGUGUGAGUAUAUAAAAAUAAUACAUCUGGCUGAAAACUCCUCUGCUUUGGCAGUUUUCAAUCUUUCUGGGUUUGUUUCCCAAUAGAAAGCCAUUCUUUUC